AGGAGCUGCGGAAUGCCUACCGCAAAGCCUGUCAGGCAAACAGCCGCUCCUGUGCUGCCCCUGCAACCUGCUGUUUCUACAAAAAGCUGGACGCAAUUCUUGGGGGCGACCCCACCUCCACUCCAAGUACCACCACGGACGCUUCAGAGACCAGUUCAACAAGGUUGGAGGAAGAGGAGGAGGAGCAAAGCGGGAGCGAGAGUGCUGAGGCAGAGGGAGAUGCAUGCAGCCAGGAGCUGUUCUCAAGCUAGGAAGAAGGUAGCCAGUCGUGGCGGCCAGUGCUUGGGGAAGGACAAACACCAGAGGAGGUUCCUGAUGCAACCUUGAGAUCUCAACCGUCCAUAUUAUCACCGGCCAAAAAACUCCAAAGAAUCAGAAAGAGGCCACGUAGAAGCAAGGAAGACAUGUUGCAUGAAGUAAUGCAACAUUCAAGUAAU